CGAAGGGUGCAAGCGUUAUCCGGAUUCAUUGGGUUUAAAGGGUGCGUAGGCGGGGUGGUAAGUCAGUGGUGAAAUCCUGCAGCUUAACUGUAGAAUUGCCAUUGAUACUGCCAUUCUUGAGUACGCUGGAUGUGGGCGGAAUGUGCCGUGUAGCGGUGAAAUGCUUAGAUAUGGCACAGAACACCGAUAGCGAAGGCAGCUCACAACGGCGAAACUGACGCUGAGGCACGAAAGCGUGGGGAUCGAACAGGAUUAGAUACCCUGGUAGUCCACGCCGUAAACGAUGAUCACUCGUCAUUGGCGAUACACUGUCAGUGACCUAGCGAAAGCGUUAAGUGAUCCACCUGGGGAGUACGGCCGCAAGGCUG
rnacentral:rRNA from 1 species